rnacentral:rRNA from 1 species
GAUGAACGCUGGCGGCGUGCCUAAUACAUGCAAGUCGAGCGAACGGACGAGAAGCUUGCUUCUCUGAUGUUAGCGGCGGACGGGUGAGUAACACGUGUAUAACCUACCUAUAAGACUGGGAUAACUUCGGGAAACCGGAGCUAAUACCGGAUAAUAUUUUGAACCGCAUGGUUCAAAAGUGAAAGACGGUCUUGCUGUCACUUAUAGAUGGAUCCGCGCUGCAUUAGCUAGUUGGUAAGGUAACGGCUUACCAAGGCAACGAUGCAUAGCCGACCUGAGAGGGUGAUCGGCCACACUGGAACUGAGACACGGUCCAGACUCCUACGGGAGGCAGCAGUAGGGAAUCUUCCGCAAUGGGCGAAAGCCUGACGGAGCAACGCCGCGUGAGUGAUGAAGGUCUUCGGAUCGUAAAACUCUGUUAUUAGGGAAGAACAUAUGUGUAAGUAACUGUGCACAUCUUGACGGUACCUAAUCAGAAAGCCACGGCUAACUACGU